AUUGAACGCUGGCGGCAGGCCUAACACAUGCAAGUCGAGCGGAUGAAGGGAGCUUGCUCCUGGAUUCAGCGGCGGACGGGUGAGUAAUGCCUAGGAAUCUGCCUGGUAGUGGGGGCUAACGUCCGGAAACGGGCGCUAAUACCGCAUACGUCCUGAGGGAGAAAGUGGGGGAUCUUCGGACCUCACGCUAUCAGAUGAGCCUAGGUCGGAUUAGCUAGUUGGUUGGGUAAAGGCCUACCAAGGCGACGAUCCGUAACUGGUCUGAGAGGAUGAUCAGUCACACUGGAACUGAGACACGGUCCAGACUCCUACGGGAGGCAGCAGUGGGGAAUAUUGGACAAUGGGCGAAAGCCUGAUCCAGCCAUGCCGCGUGUGUGAAGAAGGUCUUCGGAUUGUAAAGCACUUUUAGUUGGGAGGAAGGGCAGUAAGUUAAUACCUUGCUGUUUUGACGGUACCAACAGAAUAAGCACCGGCUAACUUCGUG
rnacentral:rRNA from 1 species